UGGUCAGCACAUGCAAAGCCAGGAGCUGGGAGCCUGAGCGUGACCAUGCUGCCACAGCGGGAAGCUCUUCCCUCCUCCAGCUCCAGACAACAUCUUCCCAAAACCAUGGAAGUCCCAGACAUGAGGGGAGAAGGGAGCAGACACAGAUUCAGCGUUGACAGGGGUUGUUCUGAAUGUAACAGGAUCCCAUGGCAGAUGUAAACCAGACUCCAGGCAUUUGCUGUGUGUUUCACCGAGGAGAGCCCUAUGAGCUAGACCUCGUGCCAUUCUUGUCUUCAGCUUUCAGAGGAGGAGAAAGCAAGUGGAUCACUGCCCAGGUGUGUUACCCCAAUCCAGACUU